rnacentral:rRNA from 1 species
UCCANUGAAGAUAUAAGAGGUCUAGCCUGCUCACUGAUAAGAAGUAUUAAAGAGCCGCAGUAUUAUGACUGUGCAAAGGUAGCAUAAUCAUUAGGUUUUUAAAAGGGAUCUUGCAUGAAUGGUUGGACAAAGAUGAAGGCUGUCUCUAAUUUAAUAAUUGAUAUUUACUUUUAAGUGAGAAGGCUUAAAUUUUCUAAAGGGACGAGAAGACCCUGUAAAGCUUUACAUUAAUGUUAAGUUUAAUUGAAUUUAAAUAAAUAUAAAAGUUUGAAGGAAUUAUUUGUUAUGUUGGGGCGACAAAAGUAAAAUUUUUAAUAACUGCUUUAGUUUAAAACAAAUAUAGAUGAAAAUUAAUAGAUCUUAUUUAUAGAAGUAAGAUUAAGUUACUUCAGGGAUAACAGUAUAAUUUUUUUUGAGAGUUCAUAUUGAAAAGAAAGUUUAUAACCUCGAUGUUGAAUUAAAAUAUCUAUAUAGUGUAGUUGUUAUAGUAGAGGGUCUGUUCGACCUUUAUUUU